ACAGCUCCUUAAUCCCAGCACCUGGGAGUUGUCCCACAUGUGCGUCUGUAGGUGGCAGAGAGGAGAAAGGCCAGGUCUGCGCUCAGUGUUUUGACCUGUGAACAGCUGAAUGAUAAGUAGAUUAACCGC